UACGUAGGUGGCAAGCGUUGUCCGGAUUUACUGGGCGUAAAGAGCGCGCAGGCGGUCGUGCAAGUCGCGUGUGAAAGCCCCCGGCUCAACUGGGGAGGGUCACGCGAUACUGCUCGACUCGAAGGCAGGAGAGGGAAGUGGAAUUCCCAGUGUAGUGGUGAAAUGCGUAGAUAUCGGGAGGAACACCAGUGGCGAAGGCGACUUCCUGGCCUGUUCUUGACGCUGAGGCGCGAAAGCUAGGGUAGCAAACGGG
rnacentral:rRNA from 1 species